CCACAGCGGGCAAAGCGGAGGAGAACAGCAGUAACACUCAAAAAUCAGGCAGCCAAAAAAGAAAGGAAAAUAAAAUAAGAGAGGAGAAGGAGUUGAAGGGUCGACAAUAUGUCACCCAAUAUUUCCAAAAAAAGAGUCAAGUGCACCAGCAGCAGCAGCAGCUGUCUGUCAGCCCUCUGAAUCAGCCCCAGUACCCCCACAUGAGGAAGGAGCAGCGUCGGAGAGCAUGAGAGGGUGUCUGACGGAGUGGACACACGACACCCGGGCUGCUGAAAAGCACAGGAAGAGGACAGAAAGAGCGACUGAUAAAAAGCAUCAGAGACUGAGAAAAGGAAACCAUUUAUGUGCUCAACGAGAAAAGUAAAAUAUAUUUGUAAAUCCUCAGCCGAAGGGUGUCACAUGGUGAUAUUGGUCCAAGAAAGAACCCAACAACAAGGAAGAGUCGUUCACAGUAACAUUUUUUUGGCAAAUUUUCAGAGAUGCUCAUUUGGGUUUAGGUGAGGGACUCGGCUGGGCCAGGCAGAAAUGGUCACA